rnacentral:rRNA from 1 species
AUUGAACGCUGGCGGCAGGCCUAACACAUGCAAGUCGAACGGUAACAGGAAACAGCUUGCUGUUUCGCUGACGAGUGGCGGACGGGUGAGUAAUGUCUGGGAAACUGCCUGAUGGAGGGGGAUAACUACUGGAAACGGUAGCUAAUACCGCAUAACGUCGCAAGACCAAAGCGGGGGACCUUCGGGCCUCUUGCCAUCGGAUGUGCCCAGAUGGGAUUAGCUAGUAGGUGGGGUAACGGCUCACCUGGGCGACGAUGCCUAGCUGGUCUGAGAGGAUGACCAGCGACACUGGAACUGAGACACGGUCCAGACUCCUACGGGAGGCAGCAGUGGGGAAUAUUGCACAAUGGGCGCAAGCCUGAUGCAGCCAUGCCGCGUGUAUGAAGAAGGCCUUCGGGUUGUAAAGUACUUUCAGCGGGGAGGAAGGGAGUAAAGUUAAUACCUUUGCUCAUUGACGUUACCCGCAGAAGAAGCGCCGGCUAACUCCGUGCCAGCCGCCGCCGUAA